UUAAGUUCAGGGGGUAGUCCUGCUCGAUUGGAGGUCAAAAGUGUAUGAAGCGAUUUCUGGUAAGCCCAUCCCGACUAGCGUCCCCAUUGAAAGUGUGAGCUUAUGACAACGGGUCAAGCCGCCAGUACAAAGGUACAGCUUGUUGCAUUUCAACGCAGUCUAACGCAAAGACAGGCGUCAAGAUCCAACCCGGAACGCCU
rnacentral:misc_RNA from 1 species